ensembl:snRNA U6 U6 spliceosomal RNA
AUGCUUGCUUCGGCAGCACAUAUACUAAAACUGGAACAAUAUAGAGAAGAUUAGCAUGGCCCCUGCACAAGGAUGACACACAAAUUCAUGAAGCAUUCAAAGCCUAA